rnacentral:rRNA from 1 species
UACGUAGGGUGCAAGCGUUAAUCGGAAUUACUGGGCGUAAAGCGUGCGCAGGCGGUUAUGCAAGACCGAUGUGAAAUCCCCGGGCUCAACCUGGGAACUGCAUUUGUGACUGCAUAGCUAGAGUACGGUAGAGGGGGAUGGAAUUCCGCGUGUAGCAGUGAAAUGCAUAGAUAUGCGGAGGAACACCGAUGGCGAAGGCAAUCCCCUGGACCUGUACUGACGCUCAUGCACGAAAGCGUGGGGAGCAAACAGG